rnacentral:rRNA from 1 species
CACGUAGGGGGCAAGCGUUGGUCCGGAUUUAUUGGGCGUAAAGAGCUCGUAGGCUGUUCGAUAAGUCGGGUGUGAAACCUCCAGGCUCAACCUGGAGACGCCACCCGAUACUGUCAUGACUAGAGUCCGGUAGGGGAGCGUGGAAUUCCUGGUGUAGCGGUGAAAUGCGCAGAUAUCAGGAGGAACACCAGCGGCGAAGGCGGCGCUCUGGGCCGGUGACUGACGCUGAGGAGCGAAAGCGUGGGUAGCAAACAGG